CCUACGGGAGGCAGCAGUCGAGAAUCAUUCACAAUGGGGGAAACCCUGAUGCUGCGACGCCGCGUGAGCGAAUGAAGGUCUUCGGAUUGUAAACCCCUGUCAUGUGGGAGCAAAUUAAGAAGAUAGUACCACAAGAGGAAGAGACGGCUAACUCUGUGCCAGCAGCCGCGGUAAUACAGAGGGCUCAAGCGUUGUUCGGAUUCACUGGGCGUAAAGCGUGCGUAGGCUGUUUCGUAAGGCGUGUGUGAAAGGCGCGGGCUCAACCCGCGGACGGCACAUGAGACUGGGGGACUAGAGUAAGGGAGGGGGAACCGGAAUUCUCGGUGUAGCAGUGAAAUGCGUAGAUAUCGAGAGGAACACUCGUGGCGAAGGCGGGUUCCUGGACAUUAACUGACGCUGAGGCACGAAGGCGAGGGGAGCGAAAGGGAUUAGAUACCCCUGUAGUC
rnacentral:rRNA from 1 species